UCUUCAUUUAUGUCUGUAAAGAUGGUUUUUCUAGAAGAGUUUGCUUUUCUUUUGUUUUGACAUGAAUCCUUUGCAG
rnacentral:miRNA from 1 species